CCAGAGGGCAGCUUUAAAGGAGCAAUUAUAGUGAGAAUUACAUGGAAUGGGUAUUAGGUUGUUGUGGUUUCUGAUGUUUGUAUCAGGUAGCUGAGUAGUGGAGGCACCAGGGUUUGGAGAGACAUCACCAGCUGCUAGGAGCAGUAGGAUGGAAAGGAAGAGAAGGUAAGAUUUAAAUGUUGGGGAUGAGCGUUUGCAUUUAGGCGAUUUAGGAGGGG